UGGCGCCCCCUCGCGGCACGCGGCGAGAGCGGAGGGCCGAAGUAAAUGAAUACCGCGCGUGGCGGAGAGCAGCCGUCGGGCGGGAGGAGGUGGGGAUGGGAGCGGAGGGACGGGCGUGGGCCGGUCAUCUUCCGGUAGCAGCCGCGUUGUGGGAUGCUGCCACAGGAGUCUCCAUAUGGUUUGUGUCAUUGCCCCAGGACAAAAGAGACAUCCAGGAUUUGGACAGAGUUUCUGCUGCUGUUCUUCCAAAGCCUCCAUCCCAGCUGCUCACAUCAGAAACAAAGCGAGGCCCUAACCCUUGGCAAUUCCUAGCAGCAGAAAGGGCCACCAGAGCUAGCGGUUAGUAAGGAGUAACCACUUAAAUAUAAAGCAAAUAUUCCUCAAGCUUCUUCAAUCUGUUCAAAGGAUUGUUGUACUGCUUACCAGCCUUGGUAUUAGCAAGGGGCAAAAUUGGUCAUUACUGUAAUUUGGUCAGUUGCUUGACUCCAGAUUCGUCUUACCAGACGUCAUUUUGCUCCUGUAGUAGCCUCAAGUGUUCUGUUCUUCUGUAUAUAUGUAAAUAUAUGAUGAAGAGUGACCCAGCCAUCUCAUUUGGCUUGCAUUUUGGAAAUAGAAAAUAGAAUCAUAGAGGUUGGAAGGGACCCCUGGAGGUCCAUCUCUCUGCUAAAGCAGAUUUCCUGGAGUAGGUUGGUUGUGUAGGAAAGCAUCUGAUUCUGUGUAUCUCCAGAGAAGGGGACUCUACUACCUCUCUGGGCAGCCUGUUCCAGUGCUCUGUCACCCAAACAGUAAUGAAGUUUGUAUGAAACUGCCUAUGUUCCUGUUUGUGCCCAUCGCCCUUUGUCCUGCUGCUUGGCACCACUAAGAGCCUGGCUCCAUCCACUUGACUUGACUCACCGUUAUAGGUAGUCUUUUUCAGUAUUAUCACUAAGUGGCAGGAGUAAGCCCUUGGCUAUUUUUGGUGAACCUGAGUAGGUAGCACGAUUAUGAAAUGCAUUGUGAGAACAAGCUUCACAUUGUUUAAGAAAAAGAAAAAAAAAAAUCUGUGCUGUAAGGGAUGAUAGGAGGAAGGAGGGGUAGGAACCACUUAUGCUUGUCUUCAGUAUAUCCAUAACUAACCGGUUCUCUUCCGCCCUUCAUGUAGUGACACUCUAGUGAAAAACUGUUUCCUUCUGUUACUUUUAUACAAUUUGCAGGCCAUUAUUUGACCAUAAACACAUAACCUUACUGUAAAUGGGAGCCUUGAAGACAGAUUUGCUUGUGUCUAGUAAUUUGAGUAGCACUGAGGAACAGCUACAAUAUGCCUUAAAGGCCCAGCAGAUGUAUCUGCAUUGUUCAGGAUGAAAAUUUUACUCAGUGAUUUUCGGGGUGGGUAUUUCUUAAGUUCUUUGCAUGUCUCUGGGAGGACUUGUGUAUACCUGCUUGAUUUCAUGGCUGCUGAGUUCAAAAAUGCCGUGCAGGACUUGGGCAGCCAUGAAUUAGUGUACAGACUGAGGAGACAUGAAAAUGAGGAGAUAGGCUUGGCUGUAGAAAGAUUUUUGCUGUCAGUCUGAAUGAAAUAACACUGUGGGACUGGAAACAGCAGGCACUGUCAGAUAGAAAGGAUUAAAAGGCUUUUUAGCGUGGCUUAGUAGUGUACAGAAGAUUGGCUUACUUGUGAUAGAUCUUCUUUUGUCGCAUUGAUCUUUAUUUCGCAUUGUGCUUAAUACAACAAAAACUGGAGUCUGACGUAUUCUUUCAUGAAUCGUCUCACACAAUGUGUGCCUUCUAUUACUUACAAAAAUCUUUUUUUUUUUUAAGAAAUUGAUUUUUUUUUUUUUUUUUUUUUUGCCACUAUAGCCAAUGUUGAGUCAUAGUUGAACAAUACGGAGUUGUAAUAAUUUUAUGAUCACUGUAUGUGGCCAUGUUGAUGAGAGGAAGGCUAUGAUAGAAUGAGCUACACUACUUUAUAUUACUUUCCUGUAUGGAUGUAUCGAUCUAACAUAAUAGGGAGCUAGCUGAUGAAGGAAUAAAAGGCAAUUCAAUGGUUCCCUGUGUCAGCUGUAUGACUAAACCCAUGAGGUGGUAAUUACAGGAUGAUAGCUCCCAUUCCAGGGGAUGCAGCUGGCUUGUCAGGCUGGAAACUAGAAAUGAGGGAAGGAUGAUGUUGGCAGAGGCUGACAAAGGAAAUUAUUUGACACAGAGCAAGACUUAGCAAGAAAGGCUGGAAGAAGCUGGGCCUUCCUUUUGCCAGCACUGGAGCGGUAGGUAUGACAUACAGAAGGGAAGGUGUGUGUGUUGACUGGUUUAUUGUUUUUAAGAUUUAUUUUGUCUUAAAUGGUUGGUGCUAAGUGUUUUGUGAUUGGUGCUUACUGUCUUUACUUCAUGAGAGACUAAAACUGCAAGGCCUGGGUCUUUCUUGAAUCUGCAGAGGUAAUCAUGGCUCAUACACCGGGGAAGCAACCUGAGAACUGCUCUGCCUGUAGCUAAAGACGACAGUGUGAGAUCUGGGGGAACAGUUAGCUGAUCUCUUGUGAGAACAAAACGCAAACCCAUGAGUUCUGCUUCUUCAUCUUUGAGAAUGAUUUUGUGCUUAAGUAGUUUAUAGAACAAUGGGCAUGCUUUCAGACAGACUUAAGCUUGGUGUUUGGAUGUUUUGUUUUUCUUUUUUAUGACAUAGUUAAAAACACAGUAUCUGAAGAAAAAAUAUUGCAUAAAUAAUGGUAAAUAUCAGUUAUGCCUAAAAUACGGGCUAGCUGCUGCAACUGAACGAUAAUACAGCAAAAGUAGGUUUUAUUUUGUUCUCUUCUAUUCACUGUUUAUUGUACAGCUGUUCUCACCACUUACCAUAUAUAAUCAAUUGGUUGUCUCCUGCUGCUAAUAUGGAUAUUUAGUACAUUGAAAUUGAAAAAAGACAUUUUUUGUGGUAAGGAAAAUGCAGCUAAAAAACUUGUCUUUUCAGAGGAUGGAAGGUUGUGCCGUGUUUUAUGCUAAUAAAACAGCUAUUAAUGGCUUUGUGCUUCAUAUUCUUGUCUACCAUCCACGCAUACAGUUAUCCACCAUAUGUCGGGUGUUUUAUAAGGUGAGUGCUAGGAGCAGGAGGUGCAACAUAGCUGCUUGUGUCCAUUCCCCCUCCAGGAGUGGGUGAGCAGCACCAGGCACAGGUUUGUAAGCACUUAAUGGAAGAAGGGUAGAUGCCAUUGGUAAGAGUGGUCUGGCAUAAACAGGAAUCCCAGACCUUCCCUUCAGUGUCUUUGGUCUGAGGUGUUUGUCUGGCGGUUGUUUUCUUUGUAUGUGUUUGAGAUCAAAGGAGAAUAUGGUACUUCAAACAAAAUGUGCAAGGGCCCACCCUUCCUGAAUUGCACUUUUGAUAAUAUGUUCAGUCCUGCUGCUGUAAUACUCCACAGAAGGGUUUUUUCUUUCUUUUUUUUUAAUAAACUCCACUCCUUUUUAAUAUAUGUCACAAGAGAAUUUUAAUAGAUGUUUUUGUAAGAUUACUUUACAGUCUCUGAUCCUACACUUCUUUCCACGUAGUCUGUAAGAGGAGCCAGCAGCUUUAACUCAUCAGAAGUUUGUGUGAUGUAUUACUUACAGUGGAUGUAGGUGCCAGAAGUGACCUGUAAACCUAAUACUAAAUUGGGACUACAAAAUUAAUUUCACUUAGAUUGUGGAGAUUAGACUAGAAAUAAAAUUCCUCUGGGAGCUGUGUAAACCUUGACAUUGAUUUAAUGUAAUUCUUUCCUUAAGAGGGUAACUUUAAAUUGUAUAACAAUACAUAGUUUUAACCAGCACAUAUUUCUAGCAAAUUGUGCAGCAAGACAAGUAUUAACAGGAACAUUCAGUGGUAUUUCUGAAUUUAAAGAUCAGUGUGUAGCUCUGUGGAUGCUGACAAGAGGGUCAGAUGUCAUACCCCUCCCUCCUCCUCUGUCCCCCCACCUGAUCAGAUAGGUCAAGUUAUAAAGCCCGUGUGUCAUUGCCAAGCAUCUCCAUUCAGUCCAUAAAUUGUAAUUUAUAAUAUACAAAUUAUAUCCAAAUCACACUAAUUUACCCUGACUGGGGAGAAUUUGUUAACUUGGAUCCAGCAAUUAAAGGUCUGAUUAGCUCCAGAACAAAAAUGUUUAUUGUGUUACGGAAUGGCAAGUGAGUGUUUGUUUUAUGCCUUAAUUUAGACUGAAAUUAUUCUGAAUCAUUCAAAUGUUUAUUUUUGCUCUGGAUGACAGCAUAUUCUAUACUAAAAAGCAUAUUUUCUUCUUGAGAUGUAGAAAUAUUUUGUUGUUUUUAAAGGGAACAUGUAUAGGUCUCUUUCUUCAGGUUAUUGCCUGAGCAGGCUGUUUGUACAAGUCUGAUUUAACAUAUGCACUGUCUUUGCACGAGAGCUCAUGCAUUAGAUUACAUUUGCAAGGGAGAAUUUUGAGUACUUAACCUUAAUUUCACCUAUUAAAACACUAAUUUUGAAUGUUAUACUUUAAGUAACUUGGAAUACCCUGACACCCUGUAAAAUAUUUGACAAUGUUUUAAGCAGUAAGAGCACUCUGAAUGUUCGGUCAUCUCAAAUUUGCUUCAAAUUUUCUGGCAUCUGUUACUGACCAAGUCUUCUGUAUUAUUUAACAUUGUAUUGCCAUGGUCCUUUGCUAAGCAUGUAGGUGCAGAAGCAGUUCUAACAACUGACUGCAAUCAGAGUACAGCUGCACACCAGACCUUAAUCAUUUCAGUUAUUCUAAGUAACUGCUUACAGUCUGCCUUCUGCAACACCUCAUUCAUUUGAGCCACUGUUAAACAUUCUCUUGUAUGAGAAGAGUUUUUAAAAUGAAUUACUUCUUCCAGACGUGGAAUAUGGUGAUAGCAGGUAGCCCUUGUGUUCUUCCUCCCUUCUGCAUGCUUAGGGCUAAUCUUCUGAUCUUGUUAGUUUCUUUUAAUCUCUAAAUUGUCUGUAUGUCCUCCCAAGACAGCUCUGCCCUUUCCUUUCCUUGAUGAUUUCAAGUUGUUUGUUCUUUCCAAGGUUAACUGUCAAGGGACAAGCUUUAAGAUCAUGCAUAUUUCCCCUACUGUAGUUAUUUGCAAGGAAAAGUAAGCUAUGAUGAAUGAGCAUCCACACUAAAAUAGAAAAUUGCAUACGAAAACCUACCACCCCCAAGGACCUGAAAGGGCUUUUGGCAGCUAAAAAAAUACGCAUGUUCUCCUAACUCAUGAUAAAUAAAGGGACAGGAAGUAAAUUUUGCAGAAAUACAGUUUGAAAAAUUAACACCUACAUUUAAAAUU